AGGACGAACGCUGGCGGCGUGCUUAACACAUGCAAGUCGAGCGGAAAGGCCUUUCGGGGUACUCGAGCGGCGAACGGGUGAGUAACACGUGAGUAAUCUGCCCAUCGCUUCAGGAUAGCCAUCGGAAACGGUGAUUAAUACUGGAUAUGACAUUCCUUCGCAUGUUGGGGUGUGGAAAGUUUUUUCGGCGGUGGAUGUGCUCGCGGCCUAUCAGCUUGUUGGUGGGGUAAUGGCCUACCAAGGCUUUGACGGGUAGCCGGCCUGAGGAGGGUGACCGGCCACACGUGGGACUGAGACGACGGCCCAGACCUCCGUACGGG
rnacentral:rRNA from 1 species